UUGGCGCCUACCGGAUCUGUGUGGAUGGAGCUACUCCGGUUGCCUCUGCUGUCAUUAGGCUCUAAGGCACCCUGCUGAGGCCGCGUUAUUGUAAAGGGACAGGCUGGUACGGACGCCUUGGCUGUCCUGGAACUCACUCUGUAGACCAGGCUGGCCUAGAACUCAGAAAUCUGCCUGCCUCUGCCUCCCAACUGCUGGGAUUAAAGACGAGCGCCACCGCCCGGUUUGCCUAGCACAUUCUUGCUCCGUUAUUAUUUGCGGAAGAAAGGGAUAUGCACACAAUCCCCGCGGUUAUCUAAGUAGAUUUGAGGCAGGAACGAAGAAAGAGGAACGGAGCUAAGGUGGGCUUCCGGAGGAAGGUACAAAGGUGACUUAGAUUUGGAUUACAUAUUGCUGUGAAAGAUAGGAAAGUGGCCAAUGUGCACUUUGGUGAUCCCGGAGAGAUGGAGAGAAGAGAUUAUCUCCAAGGAGCUGGGUGUGUCCUGUGGGACAGUCAGGAAGAGGAGCCUGCUUCUGAAGUCUGCUUUCCUGAGUACACUGUAGCUGUCUUCAGAUGCACCAGAAGAGGGCAUCAGAUCUCAUUAUCUUUGGAAGAGCAGUCGGUGCUCUUAACCACUGAGCCAUCUCUCCAGCCCACGUAUAGUCUGAGCCUUACUUAUCCCAGCAUGUUGCUAACCUAUGGAGGCCAAGAUGGCUAAGGGCCACCAAGCUAGGAUUUCCGGGGACCCAGGGUAUCUGUAGCCCCAGUUUGCUGGAAGACACAUGAAUAGCUGGCCACAACUGAGGGCAUUUGAGCCUUGCAGUGAAUCCUGUAAGCUUCCUCUCUGCUAGGAAAGCCAACUCCUGCUUUUGUUUGAAACUUGGUAUGAAAGCCAUAUUGGAUGUGGAACUGGAAGAAUCACAAUAUGUUUAAGUGUAUCCUCAAGAGAUGACACUACUCAGCCCUGUAGUGGUCCCUGACAAUCCUGUGGCCAGUGACUUCUUGAAGGCACAGAGCUAGGAACAGAGGAUGUGCUUCAAGUCUGGCCACAGCUCUCUCUUGUGCUGCCGAUGCUCUGUGGGAUGACAUCUGGCUCAGGAUCAGAUCAGCCGGGUCCACUGUCCAUACUGGAAGGAACAUUGACAUCCAAGGAUGCCUCUGCAGUUGCAUUGGGAGCCAACGGUCUCAGCACCUAGUCAUAGCCAGUAUCUUCCCUUCAUGAAGCUCCAUUGAAACCCAACAGGCCGAAGCACUCCCCUUUCUGGACCGCAAGGGAGAUCCUGUCCACGGCAAGGAGCGGUGCUCGCUGGUCAUACACCUGUAAAAUGCCGGCCAGAAAGCCCCGGGUGAGGAGGCCUGAAGACAACCCGGGCCAGCUGGGUGGCAGUGGAGGGCAGAGCUUGCCUUACCUUGGAGAGCUCGUUGAUAAUCAGUGGUGUGUCGAGCAUGGAGUCCAAGCUAGGGACCAGGAUUCGGCUCCUCUCCUCAGCUACAUCCUGGUCCUCGGGCAGCACUGAUGUCCGGUUCUGCAGUUCUGCCUGAUUAGAAGAUAAAGACUACACAAGUGGAUUCCAGCUCAUGGAAGUAGGCCAGGAGCCCAGGAUGAAAAGGAAAUUUGAUGGGCCUUCUCACCCCUCCGUCCCCACCCACUCUUUCACAAGAAGCAGGUGGUUUUAGGGGCUGAACUCAGAGUCUAGGGAGAGAGCACAAGAACUGUGUGGAACUCAAGGAGAUGAUCAUACACUGAGGGAUGUGAAGAAAACAGUUGUACAAUUUUACUUUUGUGUAUGGUUGUUUUGCUUACAUGUAUGUACCAUGUGCAUGCCUCCUGUCUGUGGAAAAGCGAGCACUGAAUCCCAUGGAACUGGAGUUACAGGCAGAUUUUUAAAAAAUAUUUUUUAAAAUGG
ensembl:processed_transcript D330041H03Rik RIKEN cDNA D330041H03 gene